rnacentral:rRNA from 1 species
GACGAACGCUGGCGGCGUGCCUAAUACAUGCAAGUCGAGCGGACGAAUCGAAAGCUUGCUUUUGAUUCGUUAGCGGCGGACGGGUGAGUAACACGUGGGCAACCUGCCCUGUAUACGGGGAUAACACCGAGAAAUCGGUGAUAAUACCGGAUAACACGAAAUGUCGCAUGACGUUUCGUUGAAAGACGGCGCAAGCUGUCGCUACAGGAGGGGCCCGCGGCGCAUUAGCUAGUUGGUGAGGUAACGGCUCACCAAGGCGACGAUCCGUAGCCGACCUGAGAGGGUGAUCGGCCACACUGGGACUGAGACACGGCCCAGACUCCUACGGGAGGCAGCAGUAAGGAAUCUUCCGCAAUGGACGAAAGUCUGACGGAGCAACGCCGCGUGAGCGAAGAAGGCCUUCGGGUCGUAAAGCUCUGUUGUUAGGGAAGAACAAGUAACGCAGUAACUGGCGUUACCGUGACGGUACCUAACGAGAAAGCCACGGCUAACUACGUG